rnacentral:rRNA from 1 species
GAUGAACGCUGGCGGCGUGCCUAAUACAUGCAAGUCGAGCGAACAGACGAGGAGCUUGCUCCUCUGACGUUAGCGGCGGACGGGUGAGUAACACGUGGAUAACCUACCUAUAAGACUGGGAUAACUUCGGGAAACCGGAGCUAAUACCGGAUAAUAUAUUGAACCGCAUGGUUCAAUAGUGAAAGACGGUUUUGCUGUCACUUAUAGAUGGAUUCGCGCCGCAUUAGCUAGUUGGUAAGGUAACGGCUUACCAAGGCAACGAUGCGUAGCCGACCUGAGAGGGUGAUCGGCCACACUGGAACUGAGACACGGUCCAGACUCCUACGGGAGGCAGCAGUAGGGAAUCUUCCGCAAUGGGCGAAAGCCUGACGGAGCAACGCCGCGUGAGUGAUGAAGGUCUUCGGAUCGUAAAACUCUGUUAUUAGGGAAGAACAAAUGUGUAAGUAACUAUGCACGUCUUGACGGUACCUAAUCAGAAAGCCACGGCUAACUACGUG